rnacentral:rRNA from 1 species
GACGAACGCUGGCGGCGUGCUUAACACAUGCAAGUCGAACGGUGACGAGGAGCUUGCUCCUCUGAUCAGUGGCGAACGGGUGAGUAACACGUGAGCAACCUGCCCCAGACUCUGGGAUAACAGUUGGAAACAGCUGCUAAUACCGGAUACGAGACGGAGAGGCAUCUCUACCGUCUGGAAAGUUUUUUCGGCUGGGAUGGACUCGCGGCCUAUCAGCUAGUUGGUGAGGUAAUGGCUUACCAAGGCGACGACGGGUAGCCGGUCUGAGAGGAUGUACGGCCACACUGGGACUGAGAUACGGCCCAGACUCCUACGGGAGCAGCAGUUGGAAUCUUAGGCAAUGGACGAAAGUCUGACCUAGCGACGCCGCGUGAGGGAAGAAGGCCUUCGGGUUGUAAACCUCUGUCAGUGGGGAAAAGUAAGUGACGGUACCCAAGAGAAGCCCCUGCUAACUACGUGCCAGCAGCCGCGGUAAUGAAGUAGUAAC